GGUCCAAACUCGAAGUAGAGUAGUUUAGUAGGGUCAACUGAUACUACUAAUCUACUCUACUUCGAAUUUGGACCC
rfam:Haemonchus placei strain MHpl1 genome assembly, scaffold: HPLM_scaffold0000977